UGGCUGCUUGGGGGUGGAUUAGGCGGCGAACGGGUGAGUAACACGUGAGUAACCUGGCCUUGACUCUGGGAUAAGCCUGGGAAACUGGGUCUAAUACCGGAUAUGACCUUCCAUCGCAUGGUGGUUGGUGGAAAGCUUUUGUGGUUUUGGAUGGACUCGCGGCCUAUCAGCUUGUUGGUGGGGUAAUGGCCUACCAAGGCGACGACGGGUAGCCGGCCUGAGAGGGUGACCGGCCACACUGGGACUGAGACACGGCCCAGACUCCUACGGGAGGCAGCAGUGGGGAAUAUUGCACAAUGGGCGCAAGCCUGAUGCAGCGACGCCGCGUGAGGGAUGACGGCCUUCGGGUUGUAAACCUCUUUCAGUAGGGAAGAAGCGUAAGUGACGGUACCUGCGAAAAAAGCGCCGGCUAACUGCGUGCCACCAGCCGCGGUAAUACGUAGGGGGCAAGCGUUAUCCGGAAUUAUUGGGCGUAAAGAGCUCGUAGGCGGUUUGUCGCGUCUGCCGUGAAAGUCCGGGGCUCAACUCUCGAUCUGCGGUGGGUACGGGCAGACUAGAGUGAUGUAUGGGAGACUGGAAAUCCUGGUGUAGCGGUGAAAUGCGCAGAUAUCAGGAGGAACACCGAUGGCGAAAGCGCGUCUCUGGGCAUUAACUGACGCUGAGGAGCGAAAGCAUGGGGAGCGAACAGGAUUAUAUACCCUGGGAGUCCAUGCCGUAA
rnacentral:rRNA from 2 species